rnacentral:rRNA from 1 species
UACGGGGGGGGCAAGCGUUGUUCGGAAUUACUGGGCGUAAAGGGCGCGUAGGCGGUUGGAUAAGUCAGCUGUGAAAACCACGGGCUUAACUCGUGGCCUGCAGUUGAGACUGUCUGGCUUGAGUGUGGGAGAGGAGAGUGGAAUUCCUGGUGUAGCGGUGAAAUGCGUAGAUAUCUGGAGGAACACCGGUGGCGAAGGCGGCAUCCUGGACCAAUACUGACGCUGAGGAGCGAAAGCCAGGGGAGCAAACGGG